rnacentral:Y_RNA from 1 species
GGCCUGUGGGAUGGUAGUGGGUUAUCAGAACUUAUUAACAUUAGUUGUCAGUAAAGUUGGUAUACAAUCCCCACUGCUAAAUUAUGACUGGCUUAAA